UAGGGAAUCUUCGGCAAUGGACGGAAGUCUGACCGAGCAACGCCGCGUGAGUGAAGAAGGUUUUCGGAUCGUAAAGCUCUGUUGUAAGAGAAGAACGAGUGUGAGAGUGGAAAGUUCACACUGUGACGGUAUCUUACCAGAAAGGGACGGCUAACUACGUGCCAGCAGCCGCGGUAAUACGUAGGUCCCGAGCGUUGUCCGGAUUUAUUGGGCGUAAAGCGAGCGCAGGCGGUUAGAUAAGUCUGAAGUUAAAGGCUGUGGCUUAACCAUAGUAGGCUUUGGAAACUGUUUAACUUGAGUGCAAGAGGGGAGUGUGGAAUUCCAUGUGUAGCGGUGAAAUGCGUAGAUAUAUGGAGGAACACCGGUGGCGAAAGCGGCUCUCUGGCUUGUAACUGACGCUGAGGCUCGAAAGCGUGGGGAGCAAACAGGAUUAGAUACCCUGGUAGUCCACGCUGUAAACGAUGAGUGCUAGGUGUUAGACCCUUUCCGGGGUUUAGUGCCGUAGCUAACGCAUUAAGCACUCCGCCUGGGGAGUACGACCGCAAGGUUG
rnacentral:rRNA from 1 species